GACAGAGGCCUCGAGCGUUAGGCGGAAUCACUGGGCUUAAGGCGUGUGUAGGCGGAUCGUUAAGUGCCUUGUGAAAUCCCACGGCUUAACUGUGGAACGGCUGGGCAUACUGGCGGUCUUGAGCCAUCUAGGGGCGACUGGAACAAACGGUGGAGCGGUGAAAUGCGUAGAUAUCGUUUGGAACGCCAAAGGUGAAAACAGGUCGCUGGGGAUGAGCUGACGCUGGAGACACGAAAGCCAGGGGAGCAAACGGG
rnacentral:rRNA from 1 species